GGAAACCCAUUCAUCAUGACUGUUGCUCUGAUCUGCUUCUUUUUCCUCUCUCUGCAGAUCUCCAGCAUUCCUGCUGCAGUGAAUCAGUUCACUGGAUCAGCAGGAGACGAUUUCUCUGGACAUUGUGGCUCUUCUUUCUCUGGAACCAGGAAGAUCUUCUGCAGGGAAAACUGUGGGAACGGAAACGUUCUGAUAGAAACCACAGAGAACUCAGCUGAAAACGGACGAUACAGCAUUGAAUAUGUCAAAGUUCACGGAUCAAACAUUUACAGCUUCUCUGUGAAGAUCUCAGCCCUGACUGAGUCUGACUCGGGUCGGUACAGAUGUGGUUUGGGCCAAUCCUCAGAGUCCUACCAGGAUUUCACUCUCACUGUUUCAGGAGUAGAUAAGAUGUCAACAUCCUCCGUUUCAGUUUCAACUCCUUUAACCUCGACACCAACAGAUUCAUGGAGUCUCAACUUCAGUUCAGGAAGUUUCACACCUUCAGUUUCCUCUGAAACCACCAAUCAGUCGACUGUGAGCCACGAAGAGAAGGAAACGUCUGACGAAACGUCUGCCUGGUUCCUGCUGGCGGUGGCUCUGACCGGGGCUGGCAUCCUGUUAUCUGCGGCUCUGCUGGUUCUCUGCAGACGGAGGUGUCACAGACUUCUGACAGGUAAACAACAGGAAACACAUUCUGUGGUUCAGGGCCUACAAACCCAGAAGAACAGGGUGAGAGAUCAGCAGGGGGAACCAUGCUGCACUGAAGGCUCGUGGGAACCAGAGCUGCCUUCUGCAGCCAGGCUGUGAAACAUGGAGGUCAGCUGAUUCCUGGACAGGAAGUGAUGUCGAUCGCCUCCCAGCGCUGCCUUCAGGGGACCGCCUGGUGCAGAGGUCAGGCCCGCGCUGCCACCAUGAGGCGCAGACAUGAGGGUGGGUGUGUGAACGUUGUUCUGGGUUCAUCACUUCCUGUGUGAAAGAAGUCAAAGGUUGCCGCCGCCCGCCGUCUUCGUGGGAAAUUAAAAAUAACACAAAAUCUAAUUUGUGUUCAGUGAACGGGCCUGUUCACCCAGACAGCAUGAUGCUGCCACCACCAUGCUUCACCAUCAGGAUGAGGUUCCUUCUCUGAGGAAUUUUAUAUGAAUACAUUUUAAUAUUUAUCUUAUAACUGUUAAUAUGAUCAAGUUUAUGGGGUUAAAAAAAAAUCAAACUUAUCAUAACAUCAACAUUAAGUUCUUGCAGAAUAAAGACCAAAGUCUCAUCAUCCUCCACCUGUUUGCCACGUCACUUCCAGCUUAAAGUGAAAAAUAAUGUUUUAAUUUUAUAACUGAUGGAAAAGAACCUGAGCUCUGCAUCAGCCAAUCAUCACUCUGCAAUCAGGUUUCAUGAAGGCCGUUUAAAACCGCAGAGACCAGCAGUCUAAACAAGUAGCUGGUUGCCAUGGUAACGGUACGGUUUCAGUAUGCAUCAGUUUUGUUAGCAUUUGCUUCCUGGUUUCACUGCUUGGUGCUUAAAACAACCACAGAGGAAACAUUUACACAGAGUAAGAUCUCAGCAGGAACUCUAUGAAGACACAUCACUUUUAAUAAAGAAACAGAAGAAGAAAAGAGGAUUUAUAUGAAACAAACCCAUUUUACAGAUUGAAGAGUUAUUCUCUGUAAAACGGACAGCGCUCUGCCAGCAGGAGGCGCUACAUGUUGAUGCCGUUUGGUAAUUAAUGCAGUUUUAUGUAGAUUCAUCAUCUCACCUGUUUCUAAAUCCAGUCUGGUAAAUUUUUGUCAACUGAUUACUGCUGCAUAUUAAAUAUUUUUGUUUGUUUUAUAAACUUGAUCUAGACUUUAUUGAUGUAUAAAGACUCAAGUGGUAAAAGCUACCAGCUCAUGUUCCAUUUUUAAUGCAGAGUAUUAAAUACAUACUGCAUUUUAAUUGGUGUGAUAAGAUAUGAGUUUUACUUUUUAGGCCACAUUUUUCCACAAUCCUCACCAGCAGGUGGCAGUAAUGAGGCAUUAAGCUAUUUGCCAAUCGCCAUAAAACAACAAGAAGAAGAAAAACAAUCACAGUCCAUAGAAGACAGCGUCACACCUAGCAACGGGGUCAAUCACACCUAGCAACGGGUUCGACCACACCUAGCAACGGGGACGACCACACCUAGCAACGGGGACGACCACACCUAGCAAUGGGGUCAACCACACCUAGCAACGGGGUCAAUCACACCUAGCAACGGGGUCAAUCACACCGAGCAACGGGGUCAAUCACACUGAGCAACGGGGUCGACCACACCUAAAUGGGAAGUAUGGAGUAAUCAGUGAAGAGUCUCCAGACAGAGGUGGUUUUUUGUUUCCUUAAUUUUAAUGGGCCUUUCAAAAUAAGAGCCUCUAUCACUCUGGGUUGAAUCCGUUUACUGAUCAGGUGAUUUGUGUCUUAAUGGCAGGAAUGAACGUAAUCAAGUUUUUAUCCAUUAUGUCAGUAAACUUUGAUGUCUCACCUUUAUCUGUGAUUUUAAUUUGUCCAGGUGUAAAAACCACAAGAGGCUCAAACAGAAGAGACCAGAAGGACGAUGAUUGUGGAAAUUCUUCAUCUGGGGAUUUGAUUUACAUGAAUGCAAAACCUGUCUGCAGGAACAAGAAGUAGAUGUGAGACUGAGGAGAUGAGAUGAGACCCGGAUUUAAACCCAGAUUCUGCUUCACGCUCUGAAGCUGCAACCCAAUAAAACCUGGAAAUGUGUCAAACUACCGGCAGAGGAAAAUGAAGGAACGAACACGGAGAGUCAGUGAGAGGGAGGAUUUGGCUCUGGAAGGAUUUGGGGGAAUUGCUUCCAUCACUGUUGCUGCUGCUUCAUUGGGACUAUUUCUAUUUGCUGUUUGUUGAACGUCUUGUUUUCUAUCAGUCGUCUUGCGGUUUUUGGUCCUGAGCAGCUACUGACGAGUCCUGACCGACACGGCAGAACAGCUUCAAGAGGUCAUAGGAACAUGUGGUGACGUCACGCAGUGGGAGAUUACAUGAUCAUCAUAAAAGACAUAUUAACAUUUAAGAUGGCCGACUUUCUAUUUGUGAUUUCUUAUUUUUCCCUUUAUCUUCUUUUUCAUUAUUUUCUGUUUAAUAUUUUUCCUUUUUGUUCCUUCUUUUCCUUGUUUUUCCUUUUUCUCACAGAAAAUGGCCCUGGUGGGCCACCAUGAUUAUUUAUAGAUUAUGUGAAGAUACACAACAUAUCAGAGGACACAUGUUUAUUGUUUAAACAAUAAAGCACAGAAAAUACAA